GAUGAACGCUAGCGGGAGGCCUAACACAUGCAAGCCGAGCGGUAGAGUUUCUUCGGAAACUUGAGAGCGGCGCACGGGUGCGUAACACGUGUGCAACCUACCUUUAUCUGGGGGAUAGCCUUUCGAAAGGAAGAUUAAUACCCCAUAAUAUAAUGAUUGGCAUCAAUUAUUAUUGAAAACUCCGGUGGAUAGAGAUGGGCACGCGCAAGAUUAGAUAGUUGGUGAGGUAACGGCUCACCAAGUCAAUGACCUUUAGGGGUCCUGAGAGGGAGAUCCCCCACACUGGUACUGAGACACGGACCAGACUCCUACGGGAGGCAGCAGUGAGGAAUAUUGGACAAUGGGUGAGAGCCUGAUCCAGCCAUCCCGCGUGAAGGAUGACGGUCCUAUGGAUUGUAAACUUCUUUUGUACAGGGAUAAACCUACCCUCGUGAGGGUAGCUGAAGGUACUGUACGAAUAAGCACCGGCUAACUCCGUG
rnacentral:rRNA from 1 species